rnacentral:rRNA from 1 species
GACGAACGCUGGCGGCGUGCUUAACACAUGCAAGUCGAACGGAAAGGCCCUGCUUUUGUGGGGUGCUCGAGUGGCGAACGGGUGAGUAACACGUGAGUAACCUGCCCUUGACUUUGGGAUAACUUCAGGAAACUGGGGCUAAUACCGGAUAGGAGCUCCUGCUGCAUGGUGGGGGUUGGAAAGUUUCGGCGGUUGGGGAUGGACUCGCGGCUUAUCAGCUUGUUGGUGGGGUAGUGGCUUACCAAGGCUUUGACGGGUAGCCGGCCUGAGAGGGUGACCGGCCACAUUGGGACUGAGAUGCGGCCCAGACUCCUACGGGAGGCAGGAGUGGGGAAUAUUGCACAAUGGGCGGAAGCCGUAUGCAGGAACGCCGCGUGCGGGAUGACGGCCUUCGGGUUGUAAACCGCUUUCGCCUGUGACGAAGCGUGAGUGACGGUAAUGGGUAAAGAAGCACCGGCUAACUACGUG